CAGAAAAUGCAAGUGAUUUAUCUGCAGGGCACAGUGCAGCUUUGGGCUCACGCAAAUGGUCCCCGCUGUCACAGCUGCAGCAGGAACACGCAUCUCUACAGGAAUCCCGAACGUCUGAAGAUGCAGUUCUAAGGAAUCUUCACUUGCCAACGACAAUCUCCCCACCUCAAACAGCGCUGUGGAUGGACAAAUGUUCUGUGUUCUUGUUUGCCAAAGCAGCUGGAAACAGAGUGGCAUUCUAUGGAAGUGAGGACUGCCAGUAUUGAGGGUUCUUGUUGAAGCCCCCAGUCAUGCACCUGUGCAAGAAUUCAG
ensembl:lncRNA